CACGUAGGGCGCAAGCGUUGUCCGGAAUUAUUGGGCGUAAAGAGCUCGUAGGCGGUCUGUUGCGUCCGCUGUGAAAACUCGGGGCUUAACCCCGAGCCUGCAGUGGAUACGGGCAGACUAGAGGUAGGUAGGGGAGAAUGGAAUUCCCGGUGUAGCGGUGAAAUGCGCAGAUAUCAGGAGGAACACCGAUGGCGAAGGCAGGUCUCUGGGCCGAUACUGACGCUGAGGAGCGAAAGCGUGGGGAGCGAACAGG
rnacentral:rRNA from 1 species